AUACGAGGGGUGCAAGUGUUGUUCGGAAUCACUGGGCGUAAAGGGAGCGUAGGCUGGAAGCCAAGUCAGAUGUUUAAUGCCGGGGCCUAACCCCGGUUUUGCAUUCGAAACUGGUUUUCUUGAGUAAGUAAGAGGUAAACGGAAUACCUGAUGUAGCGGUGGAAUGCGUAGAUAUCAGGUGGAACACCAAUAGCGAAGGCAGUUUACUGGGACAUUACUGACGCUGAGGCUCGAAAGUGUGGGUAGCGAACAGGAUUAGAAACCCCAGUAGUCC
rnacentral:rRNA from 1 species